ensembl:snRNA U2 U2 spliceosomal RNA
AUCGCUUCUUGGCCUUUUGGCUAAGAUCAAGUGUAGACAUAGAAAACUCCUUAACUUUAUAAUUGUAUCCAAUUAAAAUAUAUAUAUAUAAUUUUCUUAGUAACAUUUCCUGGGGUGGAGCAAUGAGUCUGGUGAGACACUAGAGGAGUUACUCAUC